rnacentral:rRNA from 1 species
UACGAAGGGGGCUAGCGUUGCUCGGAAUUACUGGGCGUAAAGGGCGCGUAGGCGGCACUGUUAGUCAGGCGUGAAAUUCCUGGGCUCAACCUGGGGACCUGCGCUUGAUACGGCAGAGCUAGAGGAUGGAAGAGGGUCGUGGAAUUCCCAGUGUAGAGGUGAAAUCGUAGAUAUUGGGAAGAACACCGGUGGCGAAGGCGGCGACCUGGUCCGUGACUGACGGCUGAGGCGCGAAAGCGUGGGGAGCAAACAGG